rnacentral:rRNA from 1 species
GAUCCUGGCUCAGGAUGAACGCUAGCUACAGGCUUAACACAUGCAAGUCGAGGGGCAGCGGGAAGUCAGCUUGCUGACUUUGCCGGCGACCGGCGCACGGGUGAGUAACACGUAUCCAACCUUCCCGUUACUCUGGGAUAGCCUUUCGAAAGAAAGAUUAAUACCGGAUAGUAUCGAAAGAUUGCAUGAUAACCCGAUUAAAGAUUUAUCGGUAACGGAUGGGGAUGCGUUCCAUUAGAUAGUAGGCGGGG